UAUUUCGACAGAAUGGUCAAGAAAUCCGGCAACGGCGGUGUUUAUCCGGGUCCAGCUGCGGAGAAAAAACUCAAAGUAGGCUUUGUCGGGCUAGAACCUGGGGCUACGGACUCGAACAGAGAUGCGGCGCUGCUCAUAGCAGGUGCGGACGCCAAGGCAACAACACGGGGCAGCAUCCUUAGCAAACCGAGAUCCAGCCUCUCCGGCAAACCCAAGCCUCCAAAGAGAACUGUCUUCUACAGAAGACUGCAGAAUUUUCUUUACAAUGUUUUGGAGAGACCAAGAGGAUGGGCAUUCAUUUACCACGCAUACGUUUUUCUGCUGGUCUUCUCCUGUCUGGUCCUCUCUGUGUUUUCCACCAUUAAGGAGUAUGAGAAGAGCUCUGAAGAUGCCUUGUAUAUACUGGAAAUAGUCACCAUCGUAGUGUUUGGUGUGGAGUACAUAGUGAGGAUAUGGGCCGCCGGAUGCUGCUGCAGAUACAGAGGAUGGAGUGGCCGUCUGAAAUUUGCCCGCAAGCCCUUCUGUGUGAUCGACGUCAUGGUGCUGAUUGCGUCCAUCUCUGUGCUGGCGGCUGGAACCCAGGGGAAUGUCUUUGCUACUUCUGCCAUCAGGAGUUUGAGGUUCCUGCAGAUCUUGCGCAUGAUCCGGAUGGACCGCCGCGGAGGCACCUGGAAACUCCUGGGAUCUGUUGUUUACGCUCACAGCAAGGAGCUGAUCACAGCGUGGUACAUUGGCUUCCUCUGCCUCAUCCUGGCGUCCUUCCUGGUUUAUCUGGCAGAGAAAGAGGACAACGACCAGUUUGAGACCUACGCAGACGCGCUGUGGUGGGGCCUGAUCACCCUGACUACCAUUGGGUAUGGAGACAAGUUUCCCAUAACGUGGAACGGGCGUCUUCUGGCCGCAACCUUCACCUUGAUUGGAGUGUCUUUCUUUGCACUUCCUGCAGGUAUCUUGGGCUCUGGCUUUGCCUUGAAGGUCCAGGAACAACAUCGACAAAAACACUUUGAGAAGCGGCGGAAUCCUGCGGCAGGGCUUAUUCAGGCCGCGUGGCGCUUCUACGCCACCAAUCUCACCCGGCCAGACCUGGAGUCGACGUGGGAUUAUUACGAGCGCACCGUGUCCGUGCCGAUGUACAGUAGACUGAUCCCGCCACUAAAUCAACUGGAUCUACUAAGAAAUCUGAAGAGCAAGUCGGGACUGUCAUUCAGGAAGGAACCCCAACCGGAGCCCUCCCCAAGUCAGAAGGUCAGCCUGAAGGAGCGUGUUUUCUCCAGUCCCCGGAGCUCAGGGACCAAAGGGAAAGGUUCACCCCAGGGCCCCAGUGGACAAGGCAGCCAGGGUCAAGGCCAGGGGGGCCAACCCAUUCACAGGUCCCCCAGCGCUGACAACAGCAAUGAAGACAGCCCCAACAAAGUGCCCAAGAGUUGGAGUUUCGGAGAACGCAGCCGGGCACGUCAAGCCUUCCGCAUUAAGGGCACCGCCUCGCGCCAAAACUCGGAAGUGCUGAUUGAGAUGCAGGAUGAAGAAUUCAGACAGAAGAGCUCACCAGCAAUUGAGGGGUUAAUCAAAGCCAGCCUCCCUGGAGAGGACAUAGCAGACGACAAUAAGAGCUGCCACUGUGAGUUUGUCCCUCAGGACCUAACUCCCGGACUCAAGGUCACUAUCAGGUCCAUUUGCAUUAUGAGGUUCAUGGUCUCCAAGAGGAAGUUCAAAGAGAGCCUGCGGCCGUACGACGUGAUGGAUGUCAUAGAGCAGUAUUCAGCCGGCCACUUGGACAUGCUGGCCCGCAUCAAAAAUCUCCAGUCCAGGCAAGAUAACCUCCCUCCUAUUCUCUCUCAUUCUCUAUCUCACUCUGAGACCUGUAUUGAUUGCGUAUGUCUUCACACCGCAGGGGUAAAACUUGGUGGAAGCACCUUUUGGAAACCAUUACAACUGUGAAACAUUUUGAAAAGAUUCUACCAACCUUCACAAUACAUCAAAAUUGCUCAAGCUCAGUACAUUUAGUUGGGAAUCAUUGAUAGACAGCAAUAUUCAAACCUUCAAGCAGAUUUAAGUCAGAACUCAAACUGAACCACUCAGGAACAAUCAACACCUCAUGGAAAGCCAUUCAAAGGUGUUGUAAGGACUGGGUGUCAGAGUGCGAAGUCAAGUGCAGGAAACAGCAGGUGCAAUAACAAAUGUUCUUUAAUGAACACUGAGAAACUAGGCCACCCUUCUAUACACUGGAUGUUCUCAUAAAACAACCCCAGACACGGGGGGAAACAAACAGUCCAGAUACAACGUAGAUCGAAAACAAAAACCACUCUUACCAACUAACAAUCCCGCACAAAGAAACGGGCGGGCCGGCUGACUGAUAAGCCCAACUAAUUACAAACCUAAUACAAAACAGGUGUAACCAAUAAACACAUAAGGAGGGGGAGAAAAGGAUCAGUGGCAGCUAAUAGGCCGGUGACGACGACCGCCGAGCGCCACCCGAACGGGAAGGAGAGCCUGCCUCGGUCGGAGUCGUGACAGGUGUGGCAUUAAAAUAUGUGUAAUUGUCCUGCUAAAAAUUUUAACUCUAUCCCAGGGUUAGGUUUUCAGAAGACUAUCGUGAGUUUUCUUCUAACUUUUUAACUGUGCUUUGCUACUUUCAUAAUUCUUCUGAUCCUGACAAACCUCCCAGUCAAUUGGACUGAAAUAGGUGCCGGUACUAUUUUGACUGCUAUUAUGAUUGUCUGUGUAUUUCAUAUCCUCAAAUAGUUAAAACACUGUCAGUUCCACGAGCAUUUGGCUACACCUGCAAUAACAUCGCUAAAACACGUGUAUGUGACCAAUAAAAUUUGAUUUGAUUUAAAUGCCAAAGACAAACAAGAGGUUUUGAGUGUUCCUGGGUGUUCCACAGGGGCGUAGGCAUGGGUGGGCGUGGGUGGGCAGAGGCCCACCCACUGGGGAGCCAAGCCCACCCAAUCAGAUUAAGCAAAAAAAUAUAAAAAAUUAUAAUAAUUAUGCUCUACUUGUCAGUGUUAUUUGUAUUUUUACCUAAGCACAGUACUUGACUUGGGCAGGAGCUCACCGGAACUGAGUACCUUUUUCUUCUGCUUGACUUCUUGCACCUCCUAUAGAAUAUUAGCUGAAAAGUAUUGAGGAGUUUCUGCACCUAAAUAUAAACGGUACCGGCACCUAUUUCAGUCCAAGUCAAGCACUGGCCUAAACAUGCAUAGCAGUGGGAUAGGGGUGGGAAAACGAAAGGGAUAUGUGUUGACAAUAAUAAUAAUAAAUGAUAUUUGUCAGAUGCCUUUCAGGACACUCAAGGACUUCUUACAUAAAAUCUAGUGCUGUACUUAAAAUAUUUUUAAUUUAGGGCUAUGUAUUGAAUUUGAAUUAUGCUUGAUUAGUUACCUGGAAAAAAUAGUAAAAGGAAAUUGUUUAAAAAAACAAUCAUCUUAUCAAUUUCAAAAUAAUGAGUGUGUUCACUUCGCACUGAUACAAUAUGCAGUAAACAGUAGAUAUCGCUGUGUAGGUUAGGCUACACUGUGUAGGCUACUCACCGUUAGCUAGUUAGCUAAAUGUCCAAACAAAGCUCACUGUUCAAUUUUUUUCAAGAAAGGAUGUUGAAGAAUUUGCAAAGUUAUGUGAUAUCAGUGAUUUUACCAUGAAGGCCCUCCAUUCCCCCUAUAUAUCAAUCACUGAUUGCAUUGAUUUAAUCGAGGACCUUAAAGACAGUGUCAGAAUUAUCAGAGACCAUGAUCAGCAUCCCAAAGGCCAGCAUCCCGUCGCCUCUUCACUGUUGACGUUGAGACUGUUUUGCGGGUACUAUUUAAGGAAGCUGCCAGUUUAGGACAUGUGAGGCAUCUGUUUCUCAAACUAGACACUCUAAUGUACUUGUCUUCUUGCUCAGUUGUGCACCAGGGCCUCCCACUCCUCUUUCUAUUCUGGUUAGAGCCAGUUGUGUGCUGUUCUGUGAAGGGAGUAGUACACAGCGUUGUACGAGAUCUUCAGUUUCUUGGCAAUUUAUCGCAAGGAAUAGCGUUCAUUUCUGAGAACAAAAAUAGACUGAGUUUUAGAAGAAAGUUAUUUGUUUCUGACCAUUUUGAGCCUGUAAUCGAACCCACAAAUGCUGAUGCUCCAGAUACUCAACUAGUCUAAAGAAGACCAGCACCAUUUUCAGCUGUGCUAACAUAAUUGCAAAAGGGUUUUCUAAUGAUCAGUUAGCCUUUUAAAAUGAUAAACUUGGAUUAUCUAACACAGCAUGCCAUUGGAACACAGGAGUGAUGGUUGCUGAAAAUGGGCCUCUGUACGCCUAUGUAGAUAUUCCAUAAAGAAUCCGCCGUUUCCAUCGGCAAUAGUCAUUUGGGACAUUAACAAUGUCUACACUGUAUUUCUGAUCAAUUUGAUGUAAUUUUAAUGGACAAAAAAUUUGCUUUUCUUUCAAAAAUAAGGACAUUUCUAAGUGACCCCAACCUUUUGAACAGUAGUGUAAUUACAAAAAAUGUGUAGACAAUCACAUAUACUGUAUCUCUCUAUGAUGCGUGGGAAUACUUUGAAACAGAUUUCCAAAAUGAAAUCACUUAGAGCUGAAUUUCGGUGUUUUUACAGUCUUUUAUGUCCAACAAUUAAAAAAAAAAAAUCAGUGGCCAAAUACAAUAUUGUUACUUUUACUUAACCAGGUAAGUUACUGAGAACACAUUCUCUUUUAUAACAACAACUUAAAUGCUUUGUUGUCACACAAUUCAUAGCUAAAUUCAAUUCCUUAAACCUAUUGUUGACGAUGUUAUGAUAGUCUGUCAAUCAAAUAUUCCUAAACCAAAUGGCAUGUUAAUGCCGUGAGCAAACAGCCCCUAUUGGCUGGAAUCAUUAGAUGAUUAAUAAUUCAUGAUAUUCCUGAGUCCCACCCACAUCACUGUACCUCAAAUAAUUACAAGAAAAGAUCAACUCACAAUACGGAUGACGAUUCAGUGACGAUAAGUGGCUAUUUCAAUGAAACGUUGAUGUAGUCUGUUUCUUUCCAACUGUCCUGUAUGCAUGUUAAUACAACUCUUAUCGAGCCAAUUAGCAUUUGGUCAGACCUGCUCCAUGCAUAUUUUAUGAUGUUUAAGAGACUUACCACAAAGGGUCCAAUUUCCAGGGACACAACCCUGAUACCAUGACCAAGCUCAUUUUUCAUGAGGUUGUUCUUACCAAGUGAACCCAGCCAUUUUAUUGUUGUUGCAAUUAUGGAGUUGUGAGUUUUGUUCCCCCAAAGGUCAGAACGCAUUGAAUCUGAAUUCAACGUCUAUACGCAUUACACAACAAUAAGUUGACCAGAUUGUUGGUCGAGGUACUCCGAUCACAGAUAAAGACCGUCCCAAAGGAACCACAGACGGGGGGGUUGAGGAGGACACAAG